ACGAAAAGACAAUAAAAGGGAAUCGGGUGCAAAUCCCGGACAGUCCCGCUGCUGUGAAGCUCCAAUCAACGUCCUGAAACCAUCUGCAUGGCCACUGACCCAUACGUAGGUCGGGAAGGCAUCAGGACGGGAGUCAGUCAGAAGACCUGCCAGUUCAGUU
rnacentral:ncRNA from 1 species